rnacentral:rRNA from 1 species
AACGAACGUUGGCGGCGUGGAUUAGGCAUGCAAGUCGAGCGAGAAAGCCACCUUCGGGUGGUGAGUAAAGCGGCGAACGGGUGAGUAACGCGUGGGGAACCUGCCUCAAGGUGGGGGAUAACACUCCCAACGGGGUGCUAAUACCGCAUGUGACGGUUGGAUCGCAUGGUUCGACCGUCAAAGGUGGCCUCUGUCAUAAGCUAUCGCCUUGAGAUGGCCCCCGCGUCCGAUUAGCUUGUUGGUGGGGUAACGGCUCACCAAGGCUACGAUCGGUAGCUGGUCUGAGAGGAUGGUCAGCCACACUGGGACUGAGAUACGGCCCAGACUCCUACGGGAGGCUG